UACGUAGGGUGCGAGCGUUGUCCGGAAUUAUUGGGCGUAAAGAGCUCGUAGGCGGUUUGUCACGUCGGAUGUGAAACCCCGGGGCUUAACUCCGGGCCUGCAUUCGAUACGGGCUGACUAGAGUUCGGCAGGGGGAGACUGGAAUUCCUGGUGUAGCGGUGAAAUGCGCAGAUAUCAGGAAGAACACCCGUGGCGAAGGCGGUUCUCUGGGACGGUACUGACGCUGAGACGCGAAAGCGUGGGGAGCGAACAGG
rnacentral:rRNA from 1 species